rnacentral:lncRNA from 1 species
AGUAUACACAAUGGAAAACUCAGAUGCCAUAAAUGAAACAGCAAGUGUUCUUAGGUAAAAGGUUUGUGGUUUCCCAAUAUAUUCAAUACCAGAGCUUUAGAGUCCCAUCAAGUUAGUAAGUUUUUUGUCACUUUUUUUUUCCCUCAGCAAAAUAAUUCCCUUUAAUAAUUUUGUAACAAGAAACAGACUGUCAACUUACUUAAGAUUAGUGCUUUUUUAAUGAUCAGAAUCAUUUUGCCAUGUUAGAAGAUGCUUUUUUGGAAGAAGACAUCUGGGAAUACAAAUCCAAAAGAAAACCAAAACGAGUACAUCCAAAUAAUUGCUCUGAGAAUAUUCCAGAUUUUGUUGAAAAAGCAACAGAUGGACAACACCAGUCAAAACGAAACAGAAAUAAAAAAAGGACUGUAGAAACUAAAAAGAAGGUCAAGACCCCAGAAACGUGCCUUAGAGAAACAGACAGUCAGACUUCUGUCGCUUCCAGUCAGAACUCCAUUUGUGGAGAUGGUAUUCAACAGUGCCAAGACACAGAGGUCACUCCAGAAAAGCGCUGUAGGACUCACAAAAACAAACACGUGUCUCCAAAGACACGACCGGUUUAUGAUGGGUACUGUCCCAACUGCCAGAUGCCUUUUUCCUGCUUGCUAGGUCAAACACCUCGAUGGCAUGUUUUUGAGUGUUUGGAUUCCACACCAGUCUCCGGAACAGAGUGUCCUGAUGGCCUUCAGUGUUCCUCAACAAUUCCUUCUCAUUACCAGAGAUACACUCAUCUUCUGCUAGCUCAAAGCAGGGCUGGUAAUAGUCCUCUCAGGGAUCCUUCCCAUGGGUCAGGGCAGAGUUUCAGUGAGACUAAUUCAGACUUUCUUUGUAGCCUUAAGGAAAGAUGGUCUCCACAUCAGAAACAAACAGAAAACUUAAAAAAUGUUUCAACUGAUCCCUUGUUAGUGACCCAGUAUCUAAAAAGCUCUCAGUCUCCAACUGAAACCGAUAAAAAGAUUUCCUCUUCGACAAAUAGCCAAACUUCCCAACAAGUCCCACAAUUUACAGGACAUGUUAACAGUGACAAACUGGUAGGAGUUGGUUUGCCUCUUGCAAACAACCCAGAACACAGAAAUUUGCCAUUGCCAGAAAAUGACUUUAGCAACUGUGAAAUCUCCUAUUCUCCACUUCAAAGUGAUGAAGAAACUUACGAUACAAAUGAUAAACUGGAUGACUCACAACAGGAACGAUUUUUCAUGGAAAGUUCUAAAGAUGGCAGUCUGGAAGAAGAUGGCAGCAACUCCACUUUGUUUAAAAAACUAUAUGACCCCUUACUGGAGAACCAGGAGGCCUGCCCCAAAGUGGAUAGCUUCUUAACGCAGGAUAAAUACAAUGAAGAAUUGUAUGAAUGCAACUCUCUUAAUGAUUCGUCUCAACUUACCUUCCAAAAUAAGAGAAUUGGUUCACAUGGUUAUCCAGCAUAUACUGAUGAUGAUUUUAUGUUGCUUCCACCUGCAUUAGCAGAGAGGUUUACGUCUCCUAGUUACCAAGGCUCUAAAGCAAAACCUGAUGAACCAGAAUUUCGCUCAUCUCAAUCAAAUAAAGAGAAACAGGUGAUUGAAGAAUCAGCUGUUUACAAUCAAAAUUCCCUUCCAUUACUUAAGAGUAAAAUGUCAAAACAUUUUGAAAACCAGGGAGGAGGAUGUCAUUCUUUCCACCCAACCCAAAGUAAAACUAGAGAAUUAUCAAAUAAGAAUUCCAAAGCUAAGAACAACGCAAACUCAACAUGUUUCUGCAGAAAGGCAUUAGAUGGUAUGCUGGACAAUAAAGUUCCAGUUUUAAAUUCAGAAACAUUUUCUAGUACACCUACUGUUGCUAAGCCUUCGAAAAUAUUGCCCUCUGGCCCUAAGUGUCAUGCAACACAGCCUUCUACUAAGGUAAUGAAGCAGAUGGAUAUAGGUGUGUAUUUUGGACUGCCACCCAAAAGAAAAGAGAAAUUGCUGGAGGAAAGUUCAUUAGAAGGGAUGAACUUCAAUACAGCUGUAAGUCCUAAUGAAAAGAGGUCCCAGCAGCGCAAGAGGAAAGCAGAAAAAUCUUUAAGUGAUUUAGAAUUAGAGGUAAAGAAUUUAAGUGAAAGUCAGCCCUCUGUGGAGCUUUCUGAUAGGGGGUCACAGCGUCAAAGAAAGAGACUUAAAAAGUCAGAUUCAUUGCAGGAAGGAGGACAUCAGAAGAAUCCAGGUCACCUUAAGAAGACAGUACCUGGAACAGUCAAUUUAAGUAAAGACAAAGCCUUUGUAAAAUCAGCUCAUGGCAGAGUGCAGAGAGAGAACACGAAAAUCUCAGAGUCAUCUAAUGCAGGAGAAUUAAGGAAAAGGACAUGUCCAUUCUAUAAGAAAAUACCUGGAACUGGCUUUACGGUUGAUGCCUUUCAGUAUGGAUGGGUUGAAGGUUGCACUGCCUAUUUUCUCACUCAUUUCCAUUCUGAUCAUUAUGCUGGAUUGUCUAAAAACUGCAUGUUUCCCAUUUAUUGUAGUGAGAUAACUGGCAAUUUGUUGAAGAGCAAACUUCACGUACAAGAACAAUAUAUCCAUCCAUUGCCAAUAGACACUGAAUGUAUAGUGAAUGGUAUCAAGGUUAUUUUGCUAGAAGCCAAUCACUGUCCAGGUGCUGUCAUGAUCCUUUUUUAUCUUCCUAACGGCCAUGUCAUACUACACACGGGAGACUUCAGAGCAGACCCCAGCAUGGAACGUUCUCUACUUGCUUGCCAGAAAGUCCACACACUUUACUUAGAUACAACAUAUUGCAGCCCAGAAUACUCGUUUCCAUCUCAGCAAGAGGUUAUCCAGUUUGCCAUCAACACUGCCUUUGAGACUGUAACUCUAAACCCACAGGCUCUUGUUGUCUGUGGCACUUACUCUAUUGGAAAAGAGAAAAUCUUCCUAGCCAUUGCCGAUGUUCUGGGUUCAAAAGUAGGCAUGUCCAAAGAAAAAUAUAACACAUUACAGUGCUUCAAUAUACCAGAAGUCAGUUCCCUCAUCACUACAGACAUGUGCAAGUCACUGGUUCACCUUCUCCCAAUGAUGCAAAUUAAUUUUAAGGGUUUACAGAAUCACUUGAAGAAAUGUGGUGGGAAAUACAAUCAGAUUUUGGCUUUUCGACCUACAGGUUGGACGCAUUCUAACAAGUUAACUAGUCUAGCAGAUAUUAUUCCCCAGACCAAAGGAAACAUUUCAAUAUAUGGGAUUCCUUACAGUGAACACAGCAGCUACCUAGAGAUGAAACGUUUUGUUCAGUGGCUGAAGCCGCAGAAAAUCAUACCCACCGUGAAUGUGGGCACCUUGAGAUCUAGACGCACAAUGGAAAAAUAUUUUCAAGAGUGGAAACUGGAAGCUGGAUAUUGA